rnacentral:ncRNA from 1 species
CUUCCAUCCUCCCCGCACAGGAGGGUGGACCGGGACCCCGGCGCUCUCUGCCCUGACUGCGUCGAGGUCUCACCCGCGGCCGCGGGACCGCACACCCUCGGCCGUUGCUACUCCGGGCUGCGGUGCCGGACGGGUUGAGGGUCCCGUCGCGGCGC